UCUGCUGGUUGUUUACAAUCAGCUCCUUUUUAAAUAUAUUAGCAAGGACUAUGCAGGACUGGCUUCAGUUUGAUAAUUGAUUUUUAUCUAUGCUGUUGCUAGGUUGCUUCUGUCUAGGCUAUAAUUGUCUUUGGACUGUCUCUUGAGACAUAACUUUUAAAAUUGAUCUCAAAUCAGGUAGGACUACCCGCUGAACUUAA
rnacentral:misc_RNA from 1 species